CCUACGGGUGGCAGCAGUGGGGAAUAUUGUACAAUGGGGGAAACCCUGAUGCAGCGACGCCGCGUGAGUGAAGAAGUAUUUCGUUAUGUAAAGCUCUAUCAGCAGGGAAGAAAAUGACGGUACCUGAGUAAGAAGCCCCGGCUAACUACGUGCCAGCAGCCGCGGUAAUACGUAGGGGGCAAGCGUUAUCCGGAUUUACUGGGUGUAAAGGGAGCGUAGACGGCGUUGCAAGUCUGGGGUGAAAGGUUGGGGCUUAACCGCGGAACUGCAUUGGAAACUGUAGAACUAGAGUACAGGAGGGGUAAGCGGAAUUCCUAGUGUAGCGGUGAAAUGCGUAGAUAUUAGGAGGAACACCAGUGGCGAAGGCGGCUUACUGGACCGUAACUGACGUUGAGGCUCGAAAGCGUGGGGAGCAAACAGGAUUAGAUACCCUAGUAGUC
rnacentral:rRNA from 1 species